rnacentral:rRNA from 1 species
GAUGAACGCUGGCGGCGUGCCUAAUACAUGCAAGUCGAGCGAACAGACGAGGAGCUUGCUCCUCUGACGUUAGCGGCGGACGGGUGAGUAACACGUGGAUAACCUACCUAUAAGACUGGGAUAACUUCGGGAAACCGGAGCUAAUACCGGAUAAUAUAUUGAACCGCAUGGUUCAAUAGUGAAAGACGGUUUUGCUGUCACUUAUAGAUGGAUCCGCGCCGCAUUAGCUAGUUGGUAAGGUAACGGCUUACCAAGGCAACGAUGCGUAGCCGACCUGAGAGGGUGAUCAGCCACACUGGAACUGAGACACGGUCCAGACUCCUACGGGAGGCAGCAGUAGGGAAUCUUCCGCAAUGGGCGAAAGCCUGACGGAGCAACGCCGCGUGAGUGAUGAAGGUCUUCGGAUCGUAAAACUCUUUUAUUAGGGAAGAACAAAUGUGUAAUUAACUAUGCACGUCUUGACGGUACCUAAUCAGAAAGCCACGGCUAACUUCGUG